UGCCAGAAGUACCUUUUGUAGAAAGGUUACUAACCUGCGACAGAUGAAAGUUAAAAGAACACGCUGUAGCGAUGGUCUUGUAUACCUGUCUGCGUGGCGCCUCUCAAGAAAAGAAAAAUCCAAACCUGCGUAUACACCUGUCACGGGCUGUGCUCCCUUCCCAAAGCCAAAGGGGGGAGUGCUCCUGUGCUGCACCAUGAGUGUGGGGGGUCGGACACAAAGCGUAUUUACCCCGUACUGGCAACCCGGGGUAGUGGCAGUUCGCAAAAGAAGAUGAUCACUGCUGUCUGGAACUGGUCUGCUGUGGACGAAUUGAAGAGGCAAGUGAAUGCAGUAUUUUAUGCCGGCUUUGGAUGGGUUUUCUACCUGGACUUCUUUGUGUCUGACUUCCAUGUCUGCCCAUACGUCCGUUUGGAGAACAGCUUACAGCAGCAGAGCAGCCAGGAAGCAGAGCAAGAAUACUUCCCACAAAUGAGUGCAUCCUUGCCAGCGUUUAACACACAGGCACUUUCAAACCACUUUAUGGAUUUAAGAAUCCAGCAUCCAAAAGCUUUAAGACACCAUUGCUUGAGAAGCUUUCAACAUCCUCAAAGGCAUCUAAUUGUUCAGGACAUACUGAGUAUCUGCACUUACAGAAAUCAAGCCUCAAGUGGAACUCCCCUGAAAGCAAGGCACCGGGAAGCCAAGAUUAGUUUUCAGAAAUCCCUCAAGACCACGUCACAAACGCACGUCUCUCCAUCACACCUGCCGUACAGUGUGAUUGCUCGUUCCUGCCCUAUCUGCUUGUUACAGAAGGGUGGGCUCAGACCUGGUUUCACACUGGCACAGCAAAUUGUGGCACAGCCCUUUGGGAUCUCAAGAAAAUGA
rnacentral:lncRNA from 1 species